rnacentral:lncRNA from 1 species
UAUAACUUGAUGAAAAAGUUGUUAAAGUUAUCGUAGAAACAAAAUAAACAUGGUUUGGUUUUUAUUACAAAGAGCUGGCAUUAUACAAUUCACAAAUAUUAAACACUCUAUCAAUGAGAAUCCUUUUUUUUAAUUUAUUCCCCUUUCCUUGUGAAAACAGGCCAGAUCACGAAAUACAGGGGGAUUGCCAGGUCAGGCCUAGCAUCCUGAAAAUCUUUUCUGGAAAUGCCACACCCAGGAUGCAAACCUGGGUCCUCCUACAUGGUACGCCAACACGUUACCACUCAACAAUCUGGCCAUUGAGAAUCAUUUGGAACAAAUUUUAAUUUUAUUACAAUCAUGGAAAGAGAUAUGCAUUUUUAAAUAAAAUAUCUUUACAUACAUAAUCCGUAUUAUAGCCCAUGUAGCUCAUAUAACACUGAUGCAUACAACACAGAACACAUUUCAAGUAUUAUACAGAGACCAUCAGUAUAGUAUUUAAUAUAAAAAUACUACAAAUUUUGACAUCAGUCUUUCUGCUUUUUAUUAGAGAACUAAUAUUUAUCUGUAUAAAGGAG